UACGUAGGGUGCAAGCGUUGUCCGGAAUUAUUGGGCGUAAAGAGCUCGUAGGCGGUUUGUCGCGUCUGCUGUGAAAACUCGAGGCUCAACCUCGAGCUGUCGGCGGAAACCAUCUGGCUAGAGUCCGGAAGAGGAGAGUGGAAUUCCUGGUGUAGCGGUGAAAUGCGCAGAUAUCAGGAAGAACACCUAUGGCGAAGGCAGCUCUCUGGGACGGUACUGACGCUGAGACGCGAAAGCGUGGGGAGCGAACAGG
rnacentral:rRNA from 1 species